rnacentral:tRNA from 1 species
GUCUCGGUAGCGUAAGGAAUAAGAGCACCGUCCUCGGAAUGGACAAGUAUGGGUUCGAGUCCCGUCCGAGACU